AACUAGAGGGUAUUCAUUAUGCUAAGCAAAAUAAGUCAAUCAGAGAAAGACAAUUAUGAUAUGACCUCACUGAUACAUGGAAUCUACGAAACUAAACAAAGGAUCAUCGGGGAAGAGAGG